ACGGGUGAGUAAUGUCUGGGAAACUGCCUGAUGGAGGGGGAUAACUACUGGAAACGGUAGCUAAUACCGCAUGACCUCGAAAGAGCAAAGUGGGGGACCUUCGGGCCUCACGCCAUCGGAUGUGCCCAGAUGGGAUUAGCUAGUAGGUGAGGUAAUGGCUCACCUAGGCGACGAUCCCUAGCUGGUCUGAGAGGAUGACCAGCCACACUGGAACUGAGACACGGUCCAGACUCCUACGGGAGGCAGCAGUGGGGAAUAUUGCACAAUGGGCGCAAGCCUGAUGCAGCCAUGCCGCGUGUGUGAAGAAGGCCUUCGGGUUGUAAAGCACUUUCAGCGAGGAGGAAGGCGUUAAGGUUAAUAACCUUAGCGAUUGACGUUACUCGCAGAAGAAGCACCGGCUAACUCCGUGCCAGCAGCCGCGGUAAUACGGAGGGUGCAAGCGUUAAUCGGAAUUACUGGGCGUAAAGCGCACGCAGGCGGUUUGUUAAGUCAGAUGUGAAAUCCCCGAGCUUAACUUGGGAACUGUAUUUGAAACUGGCAAGCUAGAGUCUUGUAGAGGGGGGUAGAAUUCCAGGUGU
rnacentral:rRNA from 1 species